rnacentral:rRNA from 3 species
UGGGGAAUAUUGCACAAUGGGCGCAAGCCUGAUGCAGCCAUGCCGCGUGUAUGAAGAAGGCCUUCGGGUUGUAAAGUACUUUCAGCGGGGAGGAAGGUGUUGUGGUUAAUAACCACAGCAAUUGACGUUACCCGCAGAAGAAGCACCGGCUAACUCCGUG